rnacentral:ncRNA from 1 species
AAGAAGAACUAAAAGGUUGUGUCUUUCUUUGUGCAAAUUGUCAUCGAGAAAUUCACGCAGGGUAUACGCAGCUUCUGACAGAGAUGUCAGAAUGAUCAUAGGGUGAACUUCUGGAAGCCUACAUCCGAAAGGAUAUGGUAAUCAGAAGCCAAGCCCCACGAAGUUUAAGACAAGUGGGGAAGGUUCAGAGACUAUCCGUUAUGACCCUCAAAAGAGAGGGGAGGAGUACCUCGCCAAAAGGCGGGGGAAGCGCCCUACAUCCUCGCAAUAUGCAGGAUGAUGAUAUAGUCCACCCCUUUGGGAAACCAAAGG